ACGCUAGCUACAGGCUUAACACAUGCAAGUCGAGGGGAAACGGCAUUAAGUGCUUGCACUUUUUGGACGUCGACCGGCGCACGGGUGAGUAACGCGUAUCCAACCUUCCCAUGACUAAGGGAUAACCUGCCGAAAGGCAGACUAAUACCUUAUGGUCUUCACUGACGGCAUCAGAUGUGAAGUAAAGAUUUAUCGGUUAUGGAUGGGGAUGCGUCUGAUUAGCUUGUUGGCGGGGUAACGGCCCACCAAGGCAACGAUCAGUAGGGGUUCUGAGAGGAAGGUCCCCCACAUUGGAACUGAGACACGGUCCAAACUCCUACGGGAGGCAGCAGUGAGGAAUAUUGGUCAAUGGGCGAGAGCCUGAACCAGCCAAGUAGCGUGCAGGAUGACGGCCCUAUGGGUUGUAAACUGCUUUUGUAUGGGGAUAAAGUCAGUCACGUGUGAUUGUUUGCAGGUACCAUACGAAUAAGGACCGGCUAAUUCCGUGCCAGCAGCCGCGGUAAUACGGAAGGUCCGGGCGUUAUCCGGAUUUAUUGGGUUUAAAGGGAGCGUAGGCUGGAGAUUAAGUGUGUUGUGAAAUGUAGACGCUCAACGUCUGACUUGCAGCGCAUACUGGUUUCCUUGAGUACGCACAACGUUGGCGGAAUUCGUCGUGUAGCGGUGAAAUGCUUAGAUAUGACGAAGAACUCCGAUUGCGAAGGCAGCUGACGGGAGCGCAACUGACGCUGAAGCUCGAAGGUGCGGGUAUCGAACAGGAUUAGAUACCCUGGUAGUCCGCACAGUAAACGAUGGAUGCCCGCUGUUGGUACCUGGUAUCAGCGGCUAAGCGAAAGCAUUAAGCAUCCCACCUGGGGAGUACGCCGGCAACGGUGAAACUCAAAGGAAUUGACGGGGGCCCGCACAAGCGGAGGAACAUGUG
rnacentral:rRNA from 1 species